GUGAGGAAUUUUCGUCAAUGGGGGCAACCCUGAACGAGCAACGCCGCGUGCAGGAGGACGGUUUUCGGAUCGUAAACUGCUUUUCUCGGGGACGAGAAGGGACGGUACCCGAGGAAUCAGCCCCGGCUAACUACGUGCCAGCAGCCGCGGUAAUACGUAGGGGGCGAGCGUUGUCCGGAGUUAUUGGGCGUAAAGCGCACGCAGGCGGUUCUCCAUGUUCAAAGUGACAGUCGUCGGCUCAACUGACGAAGUGCUAGGAAGACGGGAGAACUUGAGGGCUCACGAGGGACACGGAAUUCCGGGUGGAGUGGUGAAAUGCGUAGAUAUCCGGAGGAACACCAAAGGCGAAGGCAGUGUCCUGGGGAGUCGCUGACGCUCAGGUGCGAAAGCCAGGGGAGCGAACGGGAUUAGAAACCCCGGUAGUCC
rnacentral:rRNA from 1 species